CCUGUACCUUUGAUCACGAGAUUCACUAACGGCUCUCUUCUCUUCUCACCCGAACUGAGCUUCACUCUCGCAGCCCUUUCUUCUUCUUCGCAAUGUUGGACCAAGCCCGCCAUUGAUGGCCUCAGGUUUUCAGGUUAUUGCAUAACGAGGCUGGACAAUAUAGAACAGGAUGGAACUGGUGACGUUUUGGCUGUCAAUCCACUUCCUGUAACACAAUGGAACCUUUAAGCUGUGUCUGUUUUUCUGCACUGGUCACUGGUUUGCUUUUAAUAAAACCAUCCACGACCUCGGUUGGAGGUAUAGGUUUACUCAUUGAUGUUGCGAGUAAUGGGUUGAGAGAAUUUUCCUCCAAAUUGGUUUGUAGAUAAACUUCUUUAAAGGUUUCAUUUCUAACUUGUGAGAUUAAGAUGGAAAAUACAUUAGGCGUUCCCCUUCCCCUUCUCCCUCUAUUUCAGCACCCUCAAUCUAUACGGGUAACUUACUCUUCAACACCCCCUACAUGUAAAUUGUGUGUUUGAGAGAGAUACUUUUCUUGCUUGGUGAUAAACUGAACCCAUCCAGAAUGUGCUCUAAAUGACACCCAGUUGCUCAUACUUUUCCCUCUUCCUUUAAUUGGGAGAGUUCUUGCCCUUUGUGCAGCCAUUGAUUGGAUUCUAAAUUAAAGUCGCAUGCUUUAUGCGCUUCUAUCCAAGUCUAUAGAACUACCAACUAUGCCUAUUAUCAGAUGUUCUAAUUUAAUCAAAGUUCAAAAU